CAGCCGCCGCGGUAAUACGGAGGGUGCAAGCGUUAUCCGGAUUCACUGGGUUUAAAGGGUGCGUAGGCGGAUCUGUAAGUCAGUGGUGAAAUCUCCGGGCUUAACCUGGAAACUGCCGUUGAUACUAUAGGUCUUGAAUUUUGUGGAGGUUAGCGGAAUAUGUCAUGUAGCGGUGAAAUGCAUAGAUAUGACAUAGAACACCAAUUGCGAAGGCAGCUGGCUACACAACUAUUGACGCUGAGGCACGAAAGCGUGGGGAUCAAACAGGAUUAGAUACCCCUGUAGUCCCUGUCUCUUAUAC
rnacentral:rRNA from 1 species